rnacentral:hammerhead_ribozyme from 1 species
AUCCAGAUGACGAGUGCCGAAUAAGACGAAAUGUGCGUUAUCCUGGAU